CGGACGGGUGAGUAAUGUAUAGGAACCUGCCUAGUAGUGGGGGACAACGUGUGAAAACGCACGCUAAUACCGCAUACGCUCUACGGAGGAAAGCGGGGGAUCUUCGGACCUCGUGCUACUAGAUGGGCCUAUAUUGGAUUAGCUAGUUGGUAGGGUAAAGGCCUACCAAGGCGACGAUCCAUAGCUGGUUUGAGAGAAUGAUCAGCCACACUGGGACUGAGACACGGCCCAG
rnacentral:rRNA from 1 species